AUGGGUACUGCAGUUGGUGAAGCAAGCAUCACUGUGCAGCCACAGGGUAUUUGUGGGAGGAUUCACAACGAGCAGCGAGGGCCUCUAGCAAGCAAGGCUGGGAGAAUUCGAAUCCAGGGAGGAAAGGAGAUUUACUUUGUUCCUGAAGAAACUAUUAAUAGGACAACAAGAAUGAAAGCUCCAAUAGAGCAGUGGACAGUGGUGGGACAGCUGAUCCGCGUGCACAGAGCAGGCAACCUGGCAUCUAAGAGACCUAUAUAA
rnacentral:lncRNA from 1 species